rnacentral:rRNA from 1 species
UACGUAGGGUGCGAGCGUUAAUCGGAAUUACUGGGCGUAAAGCGUGCGCAGGCGGCUUUGCAAGACAGAUGUGAAAUCCCCGGGCUCAACCUGGGAACUGCAUUUGUGACUGCAAGGCUAGAGUACGGCAGAGGGGGAUGGAAUUCCGCGAGUAGCAGUGAAAUGCGUAGAUAUGCGGAGGAACACCAAUGGCGAAGGCAAUCCCCUGGGCCUGUACUGACGCUCAUGCACGAAAGCGUGGGGAGCAAACAGG